GUCAGCGUGGCCUACUGGUUAGCGCUUCGGACUUGUAACCGGAGGGUUGCCGGAUCGAACCCCGACCAGUAGCCA
rnacentral:tRNA from 1 species